rnacentral:misc_RNA from 1 species
AACCAUAGAAACCUGCGGAGUACCUGCGGAAGGAUCAUUACAGAGUUGCAAAACUCCCUAAACCAUUGUGAACGUUACCUAAACCGUUGCUUCGGCGGGCGGCCCGGGUCCUUCCCGGCGCCCCUCGGCCCUCGCGGGCGCCCGCCGGAGGUAAACCAAACUAUUGCAUUGUAUGGCCUCCCUGAGUCUUCUGUACUGAAUAAGUCAAAACUUUCAACAAUGGAUCUCAGAUCGGAAGAG